rnacentral:rRNA from 1 species
GACGAACGCUGGCGGCGUGCUUAACACAUGCAAGUCGAACGGAAAGGCCCUGCUUUUGUGGGGUGCUCGAGUGGCGAACGGGUGAGUAACACGUGAGUAACCUGCCCUUGACUUUGGGAUAACUUCAGGAAACUGGGGCUAAUACCGGAUAGGAGCUCCUGCUGCAUGGUGGGGGUUGGAAAGUUUCGGCGGUUGGGGAUGGACUCGCGGCUUAGCAGCUUGUUGGUGGGGUAGUGGCUUACCAAGGCUUUGACGGGUAGCCGGCCUGAGAGGGUGACCGGCCACAUUGGGACAGAGAUACGGCCCAGACUCCUACGGGAGGCAGCAGUGGGGAAUAUUGCACAAUGGGCGGAAGCAUGAUGCAGCAACGCCGCGUGCGGGAUGACGGCCUUCGGGUUGUAAACCGCUUUCGCCUGUGACGAAGCGUGAGUGACGGUAAUGGGUAAAGAAGCACCGGCUAACUACGUG